rnacentral:lncRNA from 1 species
CUCAUGACUGUGCACGGGAGAUAGCAAGUUGUGCCGAUGCACAGCCCACUAUGCUUGGCUUUGCAAGGCACAGCCGAGGCAGUGCCAUGCAUAGCCAUGGCUGUGCACCACACAGCCAACUGUGGCUAUGCAUGGUGGCUGGAGAACACAUUAGAGAGAGAGAGGUACUGAGAGAGAGAGAAGGGGGUAGAGAGAGCGGUAGAGUGAUGGCAAUGGAUGCGGAUGGCGACGAUUGUAGAGUGAUGAUGACAGAGGCAUCGUGAUGGCAAUGGUGAUGGAUCUAUAGGAAGAAAGAUUGAGAGAGAGAGAGAGAGAGCUGUACAUGAUAUCUUAAGAGAGAGGGAGAGAGAGCGGCUUGAUGGAGUCACAAAGGUGCCGGUGGAGUCACGACAACAGAGGUAGAGUGACAGCGAUGGUGACAGACCUAG